UCGGGAAUUUUGGGCAAUGGGCGCAAGCCUGACCCAGCGACGCCGCGUGAGCGAUGAAGGCCUUCGGGUCGUAAAGCUCUGUCGGGAGGGAAGAUGGGCUGCAAGGCGAAUAGUCUUGUGGCUUGACGGUACCUCCAAAGGAAGCGCCGGCUAACUCCGUGCCAGCAGCCGCGGUAAUACGGAGGGCGCAAGCGUUGUUCGGAAUCACUGGGCGUAAAGCGCGUGUAGGCGGUCGGGAAAGUCGGAUGUGAAAUCCCGGGGCUCAACCUCGGAACUGCAUUCGAAACUCCCCGGCUAGAGUCCCGGAGAGGGUGGCGGAAUUCCCGGUGUAGGGGUGAAAUCCGUAGAUAUCGGGAGGAACAUCAGUGGCGAAGGCGGCCACCUGGACGGUGACUGACGCUGAGACGCGAAAGCGUGGGGAGCAAACAGGAUUAGAUACCCCCGUAGUCC
rnacentral:rRNA from 1 species